CAAGUUUCAACAUGAAUUUUGGAGGGGACACAUUCAAACCAUUGCACCCACUGUUGUAUUUUGGAAGCAGAUAACUUGUUUCCUAGUUUCACAUGUCCACAGUUAGGAGAGGAAUUUUGCCCUAGAAUGUAUCAUAUCAUACCUAGAGUCUCAGUGAUACCUGGUUUGCAUGAUUUAGAUAAUGAGAUUCGCAAUGUUUUGAGUUGACUAUACUUAGAGAUUUUGGAUUUAUAGUUAAUGCUGAAACAGGAUUUUUGAGGAUGUUGGGAUAAGGCGAGUGUAUUUUGCAUGUGGGAUGAAUGUGAAUUUUAUGGGGCUAGAGGAUUGACUGUACUGGGUUGAAGUGUUCCCCCCAGAUUCACAUCCACCAAAACGUCAGAAUGGAACCUUGUUUGGAAACAGGGUCUUUGAAGGUGUGAUUAGUUAAGAUGACGUCACACUGGUGUACACUGGCCAUAAAUCCAAUAUGACUGGUGGUGUACUUAUAAGAAGAUGGACAAAAAGAUGGCCUCAGGAAAGUGGAGGUAGGAACUGGCGCACUGCAGCAAUGAGUUACGGAAUGCCACAGAUGCUAGCAACCCCCAGAAGCCAGAAAAGGGCAAGAAAGGGCCCUUCCCUGGAAUCUUGAGAGAGAGAGAGAGACAGCGCAGUAUGGUCCCGGCAACACCUCGAUUUCGGACUUCCAGCCUCUAGAAUUGUGAAACAAUCAAUCUGUUGUUUUAGGCCACUCAAUCUGUGGUACUUUGUUACAGCAACUCUAGAAAACUAAUACUCAUCCUGGAGGGAUGCACAUAGCUAAGACACUUCCUUCACUGAAAUCCUGAGACAGGUACAAAGUGUCAACAGAGCUUCUUCAGUGGGCACACAGAAAUGUUUGUACGCUCUGUAUCAGAAUAAGAAAAUGAUUACGAUAUAAACAGAAAGAUGCAAAAGACAACAGUAGAGUGUUCCUAAAAACCUUCAUAUGAUUUAUCCUGGGAUUGUGAAAGCUGAAGAUACCAGAAUAGUCACUUUUGUUGGACCCAGACAAAAUAGGGCCGGGAAGGAGGCACAUGCAUGCAUGUCGGAGGACUGCAAUAAUUCAAACAAGACAUUCUCCAAAGGAUACCUGCUCAGUAACAGCAUCUCCGUCAAUGAACUGAUAACAACUCUGGCUUUGAACCUAUGGAACCCAUGGACUCUGUUUCUAAGCAGCU
rnacentral:lncRNA from 1 species